GUUUGAUCCUGGCUCAGAACGAACGCUGGCGGCAGGCCUAACACAUGCAAGUCGAACGANGCCUUCGGNCUUAGCGGCGGACGGGUNAGUAACGCNUGGNAACGUGCCCUUURCUACGGAAUAGUCCCGGGAAACUAGGUUUAAUACCGUAUAUGCUCUACGGGGGAAAGAUUUAGCGGUAAAGGAUCGGCCCGCGUUGGAUUAGGUAGUUGGUGGGGUAAUGGCCUACCAAGCCNACGAUCMAUAGCUGGUUUGAGAGGAUGAUCAGCCACACUGGGACUGAGACACGGCCCAGACUCCUACGGGAGGCAGCAGUGGGGAAUCUUAGACAAUGGGGGAAAGCCUGAUCUAGCCAUGCCGCGUGAGYGAUGAAGGCCCUAGGGUUGUAAAGCUCUUUCGCUGGGGAAGAUAAUGACGGUACCCAGUAAAGAAGCCCCGGCUAACUCCGUGCCAGCAGCCGCGGUAAUACGGAGGGGGCUAGCGUUGUUCGGAAUUACUGGGCGUAAAGCGCRCGUAGGCGGAUUGGAAAGUUGGGGGUGAAAUCCCGGGGCUCAACCCCGGAACUGCCUCCAANACUAUCAGUCUGGAGUUCGAUAGAGGUGAGUGNAAUUCCGAGUGUAGAGGUGAAAUUCGUAGAUAUUCGGAGGAACACCAGUGGCGAAGGCGGCUCACUGGCUCGAUACUGACGCUGAGGUGCGAAAGUGUGGGGAGCAAACAGGAUUAGAUACCCUGGUAGUCCACACCGUAAACGAUGAAUGCCAGUCGUCGGCAAGCAUGCUUGUCGGUGACACACCUAACGGAUUAAGCAUUCCGCCUGGGGAGUACGGUCGCAAGAUUAAAACUCAAAGGAAUURACGGGGGCCCGCACAAGCGGUGGAGCAUGUNGUUUAAUUCGAAGCAACGCGCAGAACCUUACCAACCCUUGACAUGGGUAUCGCNGGACGAGAGAUCGUCCUUUCAGUUCGGCUGGAUACCACAGGUGCUGCAUGGCUGUNGUCAGCUCGUGUCGUGAGAUGUUCGGUUAAGUCCGGCAACGAGCGCAACCCACRUUCCUUACUUGCCAGCAGUUCAAGCUGGGCACUCUAAGGAAACUGCCGAUGAUANGUCGGAGGAAGGUGUGGAUGACGUCAAGUCCUCAUGGCCCUUACGGGUUGGGCUACACACGUGCUACAAUGGUAGUGACAGUGGGAUAAUCCCAAAAAGCUAUCUCAGUUCGGAUUGGGGUCUGCNACACGACCCCAUGAAGUCGGAAUCGCUAGUAAUCGCGGAACAGCAUGCCGCGGUGAAUACGUUCCCGGGCCUUGUACACACCGCCCGUCACACCAUGGGAGUUGGGNNNACCCGAAG
rnacentral:rRNA from 1 species